rnacentral:rRNA from 1 species
AUACGGAGGAUCCGAGCGUUAUCCGGAAUCAUUGGGUUUAAAGGGUCCGUAGGCCGGCGUCUAAGUCAGCGGUGAAAUUCUACAGCUCAACUGUAGGACUGCCGUUGAUACUGGUCGUCUUGAAUGGUUGUGAAGUGGCUAGAAUAUGUGGUGUAGCGGUGAAAUGCAUAGAUAUCACAUAGAAUACCGAUUGCGAAGGCAGGUCACUAACAACGCAUUGACGCUGAUGGACGAAAGCGUGGGGAGCGAACAGGAUUAGAUACCCUGGUAGUCCACGCCGUAAACGAUGGAUACUAGCUGUUCGGUGCACAUUGGUGCGCUGGGUGGCCAAGCGAAAGUGAUAAGUAUCCCACCUGGGGAGUACGUUCGCAAGAAUGAA